rnacentral:rRNA from 1 species
UACGGAGGGUGCAAGCGUUAUCCGGAUUCAUUGGGUUUAAAGGGUGCGUAGGCGGACGAGUAAGUCAGUGGUGAAAUCCUGCAGCUUAACUGCAGAACUGCCAUUGAUACUGCUUGUCUUGAGUACGGUUGAGGUGGAUGGAAUGUGCGGUGUAGCGGUGAAAUGCAUAGAUAUCGCACAGAACACCGAUUGCGAAGGCAGUCCACUAAGCCGCCACUGACGCUGAGGCACGAAAGCGUGGGGAGCGAACAGG